rnacentral:lncRNA from 1 species
AAGAUAGGAAAAGCUCUUGGCCACAUGGAUGCCAAAGGUUCUGACUAAAAUUUUCUGCAUCAGCAAAUUCAGGCAUCUCACUUCCUGGCCUGGAUCCCAAUGCAGUUGUGGCAUGGAGAAGCUGCCUUGUGCAGAUGGGCCAGAAACACUGCUCUGCAGGAAUGAAUUUAGGGAGGGAAGGAGGCCACAUCCCUGAGUCACUGGAGGGAGUAGAGGAGAAACAACCCUAGUGCUGUAUCUUGUGGUUUUACACAACUCAGCUUAAAAACAAGAAAACAAGCUCUCUGGAAAAUGGGAGGGAUUUGGCAAGCCCCUUAAACUUCAGGAACAUUAUGUUCCUUCCAGCAUGUCUUGAAUAACGGAAGUGGAGGGCUUUGGGGGAGGGAAGAAGCAGACAGAGUGGCUGGAAACAUCAUUUUUUUUUCCCUGUUAAACAAGCUCAGCCUGGAAAUUAACAUGGAAGAAAUUCAGGAUGAUUUAUACACACCUAAGACAGCCUCACGUAUAUACAUGGCCCUUCCCAAUUAAGGACAAUUAAACAAGGACAACGACUCCCCAAAGCUGUUGGUUUCCAAAGAAAGGAAUGCCAGGGAUGGCCUCGCCUUGAGAAUGCUCUGCAAAAAUGGCAAGAUCUCAAGCAUGCCCCUUAGGAGAAGGGGACUCUCUGCUCUGCCCCAGACCCAAGUUAAGGGAUCCAAUUUUUCUCUGGCACAGAGUUUUCUUUCAGUCAAUUAGAGGCUGCCCUCCCCAAAAGAAUCCAACAGGGCAUUUUAGAGAAGCAUCAUGGGAAUUUCCUAAGAGAUGGGUUGGAGGGGGCUGUGACGUGUCAGUUUUCUGCCUCUGAUCUAGAGGCACAGCUUAUACAGGCACAGUGAUUCUGAGUAACCAGGGAAGACGCAGCUGAACCAAAGCUGGAGGGUGUUUAACAUAGUCCUGUAGGAGGAGAAAAGGGCACACUUCUUCAAAAUGUCUACACAUAACAAGGCCAAAAUUUUCUUAAUUUCUUUGAGUAUGGCCACUUUUGUGGUUAUGGUGGUGUUGAAUGGUGGAGCAGGUUCUGGAGCAUUCAAAGGUAUAUUCCAGAGAACUGUUGGAAACAUCUCCAACAAGUACAACACCGACUUGACCCCAGCUGGCUGGACCUUUUUAAUUUGGAAUGUCAUCUAUUUGUGGCAGUUAGCAUGGCUCGGAUAUGCCCUAUCUGGAAUCUGCAGAAGGAAUGAACUUGGAUGGUUCUACGUGAAACCAGAUGUCCUGCCAACUCCAUUUUACUUGGUAUGGAUCCUGAAUAAUAUCUUGAAUGUCGGAUGGCUCUUUCUGUGGGACAAUGAAUGUCUCAGCCCUGCCCUGCUUGUCCUCACAAUGCUCACAGGUUCCAAUUAUAUGAUUCUCUUCUUGGCUUGUCGAGGUCUCUAUUCCCAUAGAACUUGGCUCCAGAGUCACCACAGGAUGGACCUAUGGCUCUUCUGCAUUCUGGUGCAGAAUGGAAUUUCGCUUUAUGCUACAUGGACCACAGUGGCAAUACUAUUGAACUUUGCAGUUGUAUUGAUAUAUACUGUAGGGGUGGCCAACCAAACUUCCACUACUGUGGCUCUGUCUAUUCUUCUUCUUCUACUGGUACUUUGGUUUUACCUAGAAAACUUCCUCCUGGAUAAGCAUGUCCGUUACAUCCUCACUGUGUACCCGGUGGUCAUGGUUGCAUUGUCUGGCAAUAUUGCUCAGCACUAUAAUACAACUGCUCCUAGUGGAAACAACGUCUUUGCAGUUGUCCUGAUGAUUGUGACAAGUGUGAUGUUUUUGGUUCGGCUUGGCUUAGUUACCUACAGGCACCGUUACCAGCCACUUCCAAUGAGUGAGUCGCUGUUCACAGGGGCAGGAAGAAGAGGAAGGAACCUCAAAGAUGUUGAAGAUGAUCUCAGGAAAGGAAGUUACAGAACUCAGGAGAUGGAGGAAGAACACCUUGCUAUGAGGUCAUUCUGAUUGUGGAGAAGACACUAAGGAUGAUUGCCUUAAAGCCACAGGAAAAGGAAAUAUGAAUGAAUGAAAUCAAUUUAUUCAACCUUUACUAUGCAUUAACUACUAUGCUAAGCAUUGGGCAUACAAAUACAGAAGAGAGACUUAUCUUUGUCCUCAUAUAACUUUUAAGGUGAAAACAAAGCAUACAAAAGAGUAGUGGCCAGGGAAGAAUGUUUUAGCCUAAGAAAUUGAAGAAAUGACAUACAAAGCCAUAGAGAGGAAUCAAAUGACAUACUCUUUAAAAAUCAAUUUUAUUUUUCAAUAAACAGGCUCUUUUCUAUUUCCCCA